AGAGUUUGAUCAUGGCUCAGGACGAUGCUGGCGGCGUGCCUAAUACAUGCAAGUCGUGCGGGGAUUUUCGAGGCGGGGACUUCGGUUGAAGCCUUGGAGAUCCUAGCGGCGGACGGGUGAGUAACGCGUGGGUAACCUGCCCUAUCGCCCGGGAUAACCCUCGGAAACGAGGGCUAAUACUGGAUGCGGUCGCCGGGUCGCAUGACCGGGUGACGAAAGGGAAACCGCGAUAGGAUGGGCCCGCGUCCCAUUAGCUAGUUGGUGGGGUAACGGCCCACCAAGGCGACGAUGGGUAGCCGGCCUGAGAGGGUGGACGGCCACACUGGGACUGAGACACGGCCCAGACUCCUACGGGAGGCAGCAGUAGGGAAUCUUCGGCAAUGGGCGAAAGCCUGACCGAGCGACGCCGCGUGGGGGAUGAAGGUCUUCGGAUCGUAAACCCCUGUCCUUGGGGACGAUGAUGACGGUACCCAAGGAGGAAGCCCCGGCUAACUACGUGCCAGCAGCCGCGGUAAAACGUAGGGGGCAAGCGUUGUCCGGAAUUACUGGGCGUAAAGGGUGCGUAGGCGGCCGUUUAAGUCCUGUGUGAAAGACCUCGGCU
rnacentral:rRNA from 1 species